AUACUCUGGUUUCUUUUCAUUUACGAUUAAAUCUUUCGCCUUUUACUAAAGAUUUCCGUGGAGAGGAACAAUUAUGAGUUCUAAAUAAUUUUUUGAUGCCCGGCGAAUGUUGGGCU